UUUAGGCCCAGACACGGCCAGUGACGUCAGACUGAACAACCGGAAACUGUUAUCCGGUUAAUAAUGUUUGAUAUGAUAUGAAAACUCCAGAGAGAGAAUAUUUGUUUGGUGUCUUGUCGUGCUUGCUAUGCAUCCCUGACUCUUUUCUUCUUUCUACAUCAAGUAAGGAAUGUAGUGAAAGUUCCCAAGAGGUUAAAAACACCACUGAAAAAAUGCCAUCAGACCUGAGUUGGGACACUUGGAUUAUGGAGCUUCUGGACCAAGAGAAUGAAUGGGAGCAUGUGUUUAACAGCGUAGUGAAACAUUUGGGCGGUGGAAAAAUAAUGGAAAAUAAAAUUCAGACUACAGACUGCUUCAGGUUUCCAUACAUCGGAAACAGCUGCUGCAUCUGUAAUUCUGUCCAUCCUGAGGAGAGUCCACACUCUACAACAGAUCCUUGGCUCACCUAUAAUGACACACAGGUGCUCCACA